rnacentral:rRNA from 1 species
GAUGAACGCUGGCGGCAUGCCUAACACAUGCAAGUCGGACGGGAAGACGUUUAUCCCGUGCCGGACGGGUGAGCAACGCGCAAGAACCUGCCCUUUGGAGGGGAACCACCUCUGGCAACGGCUGCUACGACCCCGUAGGCUGAGGAGCACAACGUAGAAUCCGCCCGAGGAGGCGCUCGGGCCUGAUUAGUUAGUUGGUGAGGCAAUAGCUUACCAAGGCGAUGAGCAGUAGCUGACCCGAGAGGAUGAUCCGCCACACUGGGACUGAGUCAUGGGCCAGACUGGGACGGGAGGACGGAGUAGGCAACAACGGGCAACAGGAGUAAGCAUGAUUCAGCAAUGCGGCAUGGGUGAACAAGGCAUUCGGGUGGGAAAGUAGAAGGCUUAGGGAUGAAAAACUGCUGUUCCCGGAGAAGAAGCAAUGACGGUAUCUAAGGAAUAAGCAUCGGCUAACUUCGUG